AGAUCUAGGCUUUAUACACUCACGCAAACAGGAACUCAAGACACGAAUGCAUUUGAACAUCUGCCCUCUCUUACUAGUUAGCAGGAUUUCUUAAUAUGCCACAUAUGGUAGGGGUUGAUCUUUGAGUAACGAUUGGACGGCCUGGAUAUCGUGGAUGAUUUUGCUAAAUCUUGUGUAUUAAUAUGAGGCUUCUUCCUUAACUUGAGAAUGUUAUGGUACGCCGUCUUGGCGUCUGCUUGAUCAACUGAUGAUAGAUAGCUUUGAGGCUGCAGAUAGUCUACCUGAAAAUUAAUCUAACAAUCAGUAUUUUUUAUCGGUCAGGUCAGUGCUGUAGCAAUGCGUCGCCUCCGUUCCAUGUUUUUACUGCUAGCCGUUAUUGGGCAGCAUGUGAGCGUUCAGUCCACAGGAAGUUUUGUGUGGAGCAUACCGCGAAAAUACAAAUCAGUGUUGUCCGUGUCUAACGGAAUGUACUGGGGGUCAUGGGGGGAUCAGGACAUGUGUCCAAGAGGAACGUAUGCCGCAGGAUUCAGUCUGAGGGUGGAACGACAUUCUCCUCGUCGUGACGUUGAUGAUACAGCACUUAAUGUGAUUCGUCUUCACUGUGUACAUUUGAUCAGAAUAUCAUCAGGCGCACAUGUGGAGUCCAAAGCAGGAUAAUAAUGGAGUCUGAUUAUUAUCAAUUCUUACAUUCAAGUGUUUAAGCUAGAUAAGUGAAUUAAGGAUUUUCUUUAAAAUAAUAAUCAAUUUGAUCAAGAAACCUCUUUGUCUUUUCUUCAGCUGGGGUGAGUGGACAAAUAUCAAGUGGUGUCCUUCGGGAUUCUUAAAAGCUUUCCAGCUGAGAGUCGAACCUGACCAAGGAAAGGAUGAUCAUAUGGCCGCAAACAACAUCAGGUUCAACUGCAGUCAAGGUCAUUUGCUUCAGGGUGAUGGCACAGGCUGGGGUAAUUGGGGCAAAUGGAGCUCAGCGUGUGAUGGAAGAGGAAUCUGCGGCAUCAAGACGCGGGUACAAAAGCGACAGUGGAGUGGAGAUGACACCGCUCUCAAUGACGCGCAAAUGUACUGCUGUGAUUAAGGUGUAGGAGGAUGACAACAAGAACAGCAAGAAGACAAUUGAUCAUCAUACUACAAUCAGCUAACAUGAACCAUGUCAUACAACAGUUUUGUAAGGGAUAAUUCACAGUCAGUCGGUCAUUAUCACAAAACAAAGCCUACAAGAAUCUGAGGCUGACUGGACAUCAUCCCACCCUAUUAUUGAAUUUGAUAUUAUUUUAUUCUAGUAUAUUAGUGAUUCUUCUAUCCACAAGUUUCCUACGCCCCAUGAGGCCUUGCGUCAAAGGUGGGAGCGUCUUCCGGUUCUAAGUAAACAAGCUAGACUUGACCGACGUGACACUCAUUCAUUCAACAGUUGACAGUAAUUCAAGAUUUAACGAUCCAAACUUGCGAACGUUUGUUUUUUACUUAAAGAUUUAAGAUUCCGGCAUCAAUA